ensembl:lncRNA
AAUUUGAAAAGUUUUCGUCAGAAAUUUUGUUGGAUUCUUUGAUUUCCUUGAUUUUAACUCAGUUUUUUCUCUCUGAAAUUGCAAAAUCACAUUGAGGCCGAUGUUGAAGAGUAGCUGCAAGAUAGAACUGCGAUGCAGCUCUGAGAACCACAAACACUUCAGAAUGGUUUCUGUUCUUAGCUCGGCUCUAGAGGCAGUUUUUCUCUGAGUUGAGAUACAAGAAGAUUUUUUCUGGCAGCAUAUUUGGAUGAAAUUUUCCUUCUGCAGCCUCGUCGUGUUUCUGAGAGCAAGUCGGGUUUAAUGCAGCAGAUUAAAUACAUGCAUCUUUUCGUUCUGUCUAAAUUUGAGAAGUUUUAGUCAGAAAAUUAGGUAGAUUCAUUGAUCUCCUCGAAUCUAAGUCAGUUUUUUCACUCUGAAGUUGCGACACAGCCAAUGAUGUGUGUUCACAAGGUUUAGGAUGCAACAUUAUUUUAUUAAAUUGUUCUCCUACAGCCUAGUCAUGUUUCUGAGAGCUGGUCAGGUUUAAUGGAUCUCCUCGUUUUGUCCAGAUUCAAAAAGUUUUAGUCAGGAAUUGUGUUGGAUUUUGUGGAUUAAAACUCAGUUUUUUCACCCUGGAGUUGCAAAAAUUCAUGAAUCACGGAGUUAAAAUUGCACGGGCAGCUCUGUGAACCACAAACACAUUUCAAAAUCUUGUGUUCACAAGUCAGGUUUAAUUCAUCAGAUUUAACUCAAGCAUCUCCUCGUUCUGUCUAGAUUUGAGAAGUUUUAGAAAAUUAGAUGGAUUCAUUGAUUUCCUCAAUUCUAACUCAGUUUUUUCACUCUAGAGUUGCAAAAACAUGCGCAUUUUAUUCAUGAAGUUAUUCUUCUGCAGCCCCGUCGGGUUUCAUUCAUCUCCUCAUUUCAUGCAGAUUCAAAAAGUUUUAGUCACAAAUUGUGUUGGAUUCUUUGACUUCUGUGAUUCCAAUUCAGUUUUUUCAAUCUGAAGUUAUAAAAGCACGUGAGUCUGAGAAUACAGAGGAGCUGUGAGGCCGAACUGAUGCAGCCGUGCAGCCCUGCAAACCACAAACACAUUAUUAAGUGGUAUUUGUGUGUGAGUGUGUGUGUGUGUGUGUAUGUGUGUGUGAGUGUGUGUUGAUGUUGUCGUCUGUUCUGAGCCAAUCACAACCCUCUCCACUCCACGUUCGACAGGAAAGGAACUGGACGUUGUUGCUCUUCUUCUUCUUAUCUUAAUAUUCUCUGAAUCCUUGUUGUUAUUAUUUACUCCGGACGUGUUUCCUGCAGUUCCUCUUAUUUAUUACGACUGCUGUUCCUCCUCUGGAAACUUGACGCUCCAUUAGAGACUCUUCUGUGUGCGUUUGUGUGGACGGCGUGUGUUUUUUUGUCGUGUUCUUCUUGGCUCCAGAUGCUUUGAAACGGUAACUUGCAAGCCUUCUAUGUGCCUCUUUAUAGAAAAGGAGGAAUCCUGUGUUGUGAUCAGGACGACCAGGGAUCAGCUCCUCCCUCUCCACGCUGCAUGGCAUCACCUCUCCACUUCCUGUCCACUUCCUGUCCACUUCCUCCUCGCUCCGCUGCCUUUUCUUUCUUUUCGUCCGUCGUUGCCUUUUGGUUCUUGACUUUUUUUUCUCACGAUGAUUUCUGAGGGCAGAAAGUGUCGAAGUCCAGCCUUUAUGCAAGAACUACUCUAAUGUCAAAACAAGAAACUUGAAAUGCUGUUAGAACGGCGGGUUAAAGUCACACUUGGAUGGUUUACAUCAGCUUCUUGCCUUUUUAAUGUUUUGCUGCUGGUUGUUUCUUGAUAUUUCUGCUUUUUUCUCCAUCUGCAGUCGGUUUUUGUUGAGUUUUGGUCACUUAAACUACGUUAAAGCUACUUAAAAGCUUGAUCUGUGCUCUAAACAUGGAUCAAAGUCAUCCGUUCCGACCCUCAAAUGAAUUAAAAUGGAUGCAAAAUUAACCAAAAAGGUGCAAAUGAACAUAAAAUGAUGUAAAAUGUACCCAAAAAGAUGCAAAAUUACCAUGAAGAGAGGAAAAAAAUGUUUCAAAAAGACACAGAAUGGUUCCUAUGAAAUACAAACACCUCAAAAACACCUGAACGUACAAAAAGGAGACAAAACGUCCACAUUGAGAUACAAAUUUGCUACAAAAAGAUGGAAGUGACUAAAAAAUGACACAAAAUGACAACAAAUAGAUGCAAAACCAAUGCAAAGACAUGAAACGACCAUUAAAAGGUGUGAAAUAACCACUAAGAGACACAAAGCUCUGCUGUUUCCUGCUUUUUUGUCUGUCUUCAGUCGGUUUUUAUUAAGUUUUGGUCAUUUAAGCUGCAUUAACGUUACUUAAAGGCUCGAUCUGUGCUCUAAACAUGGAUCAAAAUCAGUUAGAAUCAUCUGGUCUGAACCUCAAAUGAAUUAACAUAGAUGCAAAAUGAACCAAGCAGGUGCAAAUGAACACAAAAUUGAUGCAAAAUUGUCCCAAAAAGAUGCAAAAUUACCUCAAAGAGAGGGAAAAAACUAUUCAAAAAGACACAAAAUGGUUCCUAGGAAAUGCAAACACCCCAAAAAGACCUGAACCUACGAAAAUGAGACACAAAAUGUCCACUUAGAGAAGCAAAUUUACCACAGAAAUAUGGAAUUGACUAAAAAGUGACACAAAAUGACAAGUAGAUGCAAAAACGUAAACUAACCAUGACAAGGUGUAAUAUAACCACUAAGAGACACAAACGUACUACAAAGAACUGCUGUUUCCUGCUUUUUUUGUCCAUUUCAAAUAGUUUUUUGUUAAGUUUUGGUUGUUUAGGCUGUUAAAGUUACUUAAACACUCAAUCUGAUACUCAAUUUUAAGCUUAGAUUUGGUAAAUUUUUACGAUUAACCCCCAGAUCUUACAUGAUUAGUUUGAAUACUGUCUGAACAUUAAAAAGUCAAAGAUUUUUCUGUUUUUAUAGUGUCUGGCUCUGAUAAAUGUUGCAAUAUUUGGUUAAUUUUCAUGAUUCAACCAAACAUCCUAUGUAAUUACUUCAAGGACUGUCUAGAAAUGGAAAAAUCAACAUUUUUUCUGUUUUUAUAGUUUCUGGCUCUGAUAAAUGGUGUAAUUUUGGUGAUUUUGUUACCGAUAACAUGCUGCUAAAACCUACUUGAACCUAGUUAAAAAGUUUCAUGUUUUAUUUACAGAAUCUGGUUACAGCAAACAGUUGAGUUUUGGUGAAUUAAAUUGAUUUUGAUAAUAAUAAUGUCACAAUUUUAAGCUUAGAUUUGGUUAAUUUUCCCAAUGGAACCACACGUCUCACAAAAUUAGUUAAAAUACUGUGUAGAAAUGGGAAAACCAACAUUCUUUUCUGUUUUAACAGUUUCUGGCUCUGAUAAAUGGGAUCAUUUUUUUGUUUGUUUUUUGCAUCCUCCUGGUGGAUUUUCGGGCUCAGACAGUUAAAAAUUUUCAUUUUAUAUUAACAGAAUCUGGUUAAAGCAAACAGUUGAUUUUUGACAAAUUUAACUGAUUUUGAUAUGAAAAUCUCACUAUUUGAAGCUUAAAUUUAGUUAAUUUUCCUGAUCAAAUUACGGCACAUCAAGUUUCAUGUUAUAUUUAUAGAACUUCGUUAAUUUUUGGCAAAUUUAAUUGAUUUUGAUAUGAUGUCACAAUUUUAAGCUUAGAUUUGGUUAGUUUUCCCGAUUAAACCACAAUUCUCGCAUGAUCACGAGUAUCUGAAAUGAAAAAGCCAAAGAUUUUUUCAAUUUUUGUAGUUUCUAGCUCUGAUAAAUGGGGUCAUUUUUGCAGUUUUUCAAAACUGUCAUGCUUCUAAAACCUACUGGUGGUUUUCAGAUGGUUAAAACAUUUCUUUUUAUAUUUACAGAAUCAGGUUGAAGCAAACUGUUGAGUUUUAGCAAAUUAAAUAGAUUUUCACAUGAAAAUGUCAUGAUUUUAGGCUUAGAUUUUGUUAAUAUUCCCAGUGGAACCACACGGACAGACUGAACAUUAAAAAUCAGACCAUUUUUUUCUGUUUUUAUAGUUUCUAACUCUGGUAAAUGGGGUCAUUUUUGUGAUUGUUUAAAUUAUUUUUUAACAAUAUCUCGCUUCUCAAAGCUGCUGCUGGGGUUCAGAGGGUUAAAAUGAUUCAUGUUACAUUUCUGUGACUCCUGACUCAACAAAAACAUCAAUAAGAACGUUCAGAUAAACCAGACUUGGCCUUUACCUGCUCCAGAACCUCAUGGUUUUGAUUCUGUGACUCUUCAGGUCAGCGUCGACUCGUAUUGACUUUUCAUUGAGGACAGACUGGAGUCCAAUCAGGCGUCUCUUCCUGUCCGACCCGCUCACUGUUUAUCUUUAUAAAUAAACCGUCACCGAGUUUAACGGGGUUUUUUUUUCUUGCCUUCAUACAUGUCUGCUUGCAUGUUCAUGUGGGAUUUCCCAUCCGCGAGUCUAUUUGUGUCUUUUCUCACCUGCUGAGUAAAGCUGCGUCGCCGGGGGUUACCAGGGCAGGAUGUCCGAGUGGAAACGGACUAUUUUCACAUCCCAUCACGGCUCCUCUGAGUUUAUCCCACCACCGGCACGUAUCUCUGGAUGAGGAGGUUUUACUGGAUGUCGAGGUGAGAAUCGGAAGAAACUUCUAGAAGCUUCGGACGGGUUUUAUUUGGUUCUUUCUGUUGCACAUUUCUCCAAUCCAUGACUUGUGACUCGGUGGAGCUUCGUGUUUCUCUGGUUCAACCCUGGUCUCCUCAGCUGUACGUGAUUCUGGUGUUGCGCUGUCGUGUUCUUCUUUGAUUCAGGGUGGGGGGGGACCCAGAGAUGCUACUGUACGUGGACGACGGGUUCUUAUUCGUUGCUGUUGGGUGGGUUUUCGGGGAGGGUUGCCGCGGCUACGGCGCCGGGCCCCGUGGGAAGUGAAGUUCUCAGUAUAUUUACACGUCUCUUUAAGCCUCUGCUAAAGACUGAUGACUGUUCAUUUAGAGCUCAAUGAAUUUCUAUAAAUAUUUUAGAUUGCUCAAACUGAUUGUGUGCAAUUGUAAUGACGGAAAUUCAAUAAAAAAAAGAG